GACGAACGCUGGCGGCGUGCUUAACACAUGCACGUCGAACGGUGAACCGGGCUUCGGCCCGGGGAUCAGUGGCGAACGGGUGCGUAACACGUGGGCAACCUGCCCCAGACACUGGGAUAACCCCGGGAAACCGGGGCUAAUACCGGAUACUCCGGCCGGACCGCAUGAUCUGGCCGGGAAAGCUCCGACGGUAUGGGAUGGGCCCGCGGCCUAUCAGCUUGUUGGUGGGGUCCCGGCCCACCAAGGCGACGACGGGUAGCUGGUCUGAGAGGACGACCAGCCACACUAGAACUGAGAUACGUUCCAGACUACUACGGGAGGCAGCAGUGGGGAAUCUUGCACAAUGGGCGAAAGCCUGAUGCAGCGACGCCGCGUGGGGGACGACGGCCCUCGGGUUGUAAACCCCUUUCGGCAGGGAAGAAGCGCAAGUGACGGUACCUGCAGAAGAAGUCCCGGCUAACUACGUGCCAGCCGCCGCAGUAAGAC
rnacentral:rRNA from 1 species